rnacentral:rRNA from 1 species
GAGUAACACGUGGAUAACCUACCUAUAAGACUGGGAUAACUUCGGGAAACCGGAGCUAAUACCGGAUAACAUAUUGAACCGCAUGGUUCAAUAGUGAAAGGCGGCUUUGCUGUCACUUAUAGAUGGAUCCGCGCCGUAUUAGCUAGUUGGUAAGGUAACGGCUUACCAAGGCAACGAUACGUAGCCGACCUGAGAGGGUGAUCGGCCACACUGGAACUGAGACACGGUCCAGACUCCUACGGGAGGCAGCAGUAGGGAAUCUUCCGCAAUGGGCGAAAGCCUGACGGAGCAACGCCGCGUGAGUGAUGAAGGUCUUCGGAUCGUAAAACUCUGUUAUCAGGGAAGAACAAAUGUGUAAGUAACUGUGCACAUCUUGACGGUACCUGAUCAGAAAGCCACGGCUAACUACGUGCCAGCAGCCGCGGUAAUACGUAGGUGGCAAGCGUUAUCCGGAAUUAUUGGGCGUAAAGCGCGCGUAGGCGGUUUUUUAAGU